rnacentral:rRNA from 1 species
UACGAAGGAUGCGAGCGUUAUCCGGAUUUAUUGGGUUUAAAGGGUGCGUAGGCGGCCUUAUAAGUCAGUGGUGAAAUCCUAUCGCUUAACGAUAGACGUGCCAUUGAUACUGUAGGGCUUGAGUACAGAUGCCGUUGGCGGAAUGUGUCAUGUAGCGGUGAAAUGCAUAGAUAUGACACAGAACACCUAUAGCGAAGGCAGCUUACUAGGCUGUAACUGACGCUGAGGCACGAAAGUGUGGGGAUCAAACAGG